rnacentral:lncRNA from 1 species
UAUACAUAUAUAAUUUGAUUUUUAUUCCUUAAAUAUCUCAACUUAAUCGCUUGAAUUCAUCUGUAAAUUGAAUAGAUCAAAGUUGACCCUAUAUUCUCUCGCCAUCAUCGAAUUGAAUCAGUCAACAAGAGAUAUACGUUUCAUAGCCUCUCAUUAGUCAUCUCUCAAAGAACCCUUGCCGUUUCUUCUCUCGAAGGCAACAAUAUACAAGAAUCUACUCUCUUCAUCGCCUCUCACUACCAAGAAAAAACUGAUUGAACGAUGGUGACUGUGGCUAAAAAUAGUUAAAUCGGCUUCAAAACCAUUAUACAAAAAGCCCUAAAACAAACAUUCUUCCAUCGUCUAAUCGUCUCCCACUUCAGUUCUGAAGGACUCCCACUCGAAAGUACUUUUUUCUGAAGACCUUUGAAAGAUCCAAUUUUCUUUUAUCUAAUUCAAGGUAACUUCAUACUACUAGAUGUUUCUCACUUCCAUCCGCUUUUUUUCCCUGUCAAAAAAUUCUGUUUUUUUACUAUGUUUCAGGAUCUGAGAUGUCACUUUUCCAAGGUAAAAGACUUCCCCAAUCUUUCUUUGUGGAUUUUUAUUGGUUGAUUUAUGUGUGUAACCGAUUUUGUGUGCUAAAUUUUGUAGGAAGAUUCAAAAAUCAGAAAAGGAAGAAGCUGAAACAUGAGUUUAUUCAAGCUUCAUAUUUCCAGGUUUGUGUAAUUGAUGAAAGAUAUGGAUUUAUGUUUAAUUUUUUUUAAUAAUGGCUAGCAUUUUGUGAUUUAGUCACCCUGAUUUAUUAAAGUACUUGCUUUCUGGUGUCUUGUAGGGCAUAGAGAAACAGUUUGAAUAUGGAUUCGAAAAUCAACUACCUACAUUUGUUUUGCAUCUAAUCCAUCUGCUAGGUUUCUUUCAGAAAAUGGAUAAAAUAAGGCAAAAGGAUAUAUAUUUGUUUUAUUUGUUUAUUAGUUAGUGCUGAAGUUUCUCAGAUUUUCCAAGAACUUUUUGCAUUGAUAGUAUCUGUUUAACUCUAUAUGUGUAUGUGAUUGAACUUUGUUUGUGUGAAAUUUCUUGUAAGGAUUUAAAUAUGUGUUUUUUGAUGACUUUUUGUAGGAGAAAAUCAAAUCUUGGAUCAUUGUUUUGCUAUCUGGAACACACAAGGUAUCUUUCACUAAGCACUCAUAUUUAACAUAAACAUAACUAACUGAUUUAAGUAAAUCUCGAUUUUUUUUUUCACAAUCAUUUUUAAAAUAUCUAAUUUUGGUUGAAUUGUGUUUUUAACUGUUUAUGGAGUUUAGAGCAUAAUGGUCUAGGAAGAUGUGUAGCCCGUGAAAGAUCCUGCUCAAGCUUGUGGAUAGACCUACUGAAAGUCACAAUCCUUAAAAGAAAAUUGGUUUAUUUUUUUCAGCCUUUUGUUUGCAUGUUGACUCACCAGCUGCCAUGGGAUUCACAUUGUAGCUUGAGAUUUAGAUGUUUAUGUUGAUUUUCGNUAUGAUAUGAUGAAAUGUAUCAAGUUUCAAGAGUUGGGCCGAAUUAAAGUGUUUUUUUUAAG